AACAAGGGGUGCUGUCAGACGGCUGAGAGGACUUGCUCCAACCCAUGAACCUGAUCCGGGUAAUGCCGGCGUAGGAAUCAAAAU
rnacentral:ncRNA from 1 species